AGAAUCUUAUUCUGCUGUUUGGUGGUGGAGUGUCCUGUGAAGUCAAUCAGUUAGAGAAGGAAGACUUUGACUUCUGGCUCAAAUGGAAUAAUAGUGACCAGAUUUACCCUCCUGCCUGGUACAAACAAAAGUCCCGAAGAAACAAGACAAAAUAUAACAGUGAGUCUCAUAUACACCUGACAGCGGAGGACAGAGACCUAAGAGACUGGAGAAACCAAGGUGAGUCCUGCAGUUGCCCUGACUUACCAUCUGGAUGAAGCUGACAGUCUGCACAACAGGGAGCAGGGCCCGGGCAGGCGCGGCAAUUUCUCUGAGGUGAGAUGGAGCCGGUUGUCCUGGGAAGCUGAGGUGGCUGGAGUUUACAGCACAGAAUGUCCUAAGAGACACUAACUAAGCAGAGGAG
rnacentral:lncRNA from 1 species